UACGGGGGGAGCAAGCGUUGUUCGGAUUUACUGGGCGUAAAGGGCGCGUAGGCGGCCAGCACAAGUCAGUUGUGAAAUCUCCGAGCUUAACUCGGAAAGGUCAACUGAUACUGUGCGGCUAGAGUGCAGAAGGGGCAACUGGAAUUCUCGGUGUAGCGGUGAAAUGCGUAGAUAUCGGAAGGAACAUCAGUGGCGAAAGCGGCUUCCUGGACCAGCACCGACGUUCAGGCACGAAAGCGUGGGGAGCAAACAGG
rnacentral:rRNA from 1 species